AAUCGGGGCAGGGUGAGUCGACCCCUAAGGCGAGGCCGAAAGGCGUAGUCGAUGGGAAACAGGUUAAUAUUCCUGUACUUGGUGUUACUGCGAAGGGGGGACGGAGAAGGCUAUGUUAGCCGGGCGACGGUUGUCCCGGUUUAAGCAUGUAGGCGGAGGUUCCAGGUAAAUCCGGUACCUUUUUAACGCUGAGGUGUGAUGACGAGGCACUACGGUGCUGAAGUAACAAAUGCCCUGCUUCCAGGAAAAGCCUCUAAGCAUCAGGUAACAUCAAAUCGUACCCCAAACCGACACAGGUGGUCAGGUAGAGAAUACCAAGGCGCUUGAGAGAACUCGGGUGAAGGAACUAGGCAAAAUGGUGCCGUAACUUCGGGAGAAGGCACGCUGAUAUGUAGGUGAAGCCCCUGCGGGUGGAGCUGAAAUCAGUCGAAGAUACCAGCUGGCUGCAACUGUUUAUUAAAAACACAGCACUGUGCAAACACGAAAGUGGACGUAUACGGUGUGACGCCUGCCCGGUGCCGGAAGGUUAAUUGAUGGGGUUAGCGGCAACGCGAAGCUC
rnacentral:rRNA from 1 species